rnacentral:lncRNA from 1 species
GACAGGCUCACACAACGACAUGGUGUGAGAAAGGCCUCGUUGGUGGUUGAUGGGCAUCAGCCCAUGGAAUCAAGGAAACCCUGGGGUUAGGGGCACUAGUGUAGGAAGGCCAUACUGUCCCCACCCAUCGCAAAGGGUUCUGCUCAGAGCCCCUUUGACCAUGGCCUGUCAGAAUGACCUUUUUCUAUUCUGUAUACAGUAUGGGGGCACUGUGUCUUUGUAGAACUCCCGUCUUUGUCCUGCUGUAGGGUAAUACUGUGUGGAGCUCACCCAUCCAUUGGAUAGUGACCAGGGUAACCAAGCUAACAAUGCCAUGGUUGAGCAAAGCCACAAGCAGUGUCUUCACAGAAGGCACUCAGCUUUUCCAGAUGCUUCUGAGAAGAUGAGAGUGAGCCAUACUCCAUCAUAAGAUCUACUGGGCAGAUGAGGAACAGGGCCUUGAUAGGAGGGAAAGAGAUUGGUUUGAGAAAGGGCAGCUGGAGUCACCCAGGCUCAAGUCUCCUUGGCUGGCACAAACUGCAACACACACCUCACACAUGCAGAGUGCUCAUGUGGGUUCUAGAAAGUCAAGUGUUCCUUCCUAGUGUUAGGAGGAGAGAGAGAGAGAGAGAGAGAGAGAGAGAGAGAAAGAGAAUAUCCCAGGCUUGCCCAGGGGAAUGCCUAGAGACUACUAAGGAAAGAAAGAGGAUGGCUCUGUCUCCCUUUAGCAUGAAGACUGGGUGAUGGGGAACUAAGCACAUUAGAAGGCUGAGGUGCUAGGGAGUUGGGAAGGCCCCUCUGUAAACAGAUGACCAGGGUAUGUCUUGUGGAACAGGCAUAGGGGGCAGUGGUAUAGGCUGACUGUGUGAGCAGCUAGAAGAAUACAGGGCACAGAGAAAGCAGAGGAGAGAUUUUAAAUUGGCAUGGUGAGGUCUGAGGGACAUUUGAAAGACAGAAGAUGGGGUUUGACUAAGGAACCAUCCUGGCUGAUUUUGGCAGCAAGUGGGGACUGGCACCUUCAAGGAGACAAGCAAGGCCACCUGAGGGUGCUUUGUGCCCAAGCCGAGCAGCCCCAUCGCUGGAUUUGUCAGUGGGUCACCUACUGCGCUUCUCGGAAGGCAUGGCAGCUGUUGAGUACAGCUCUCCGUCAUCUCACGCACCGUCAUCAGGAUUAAGCAGCAAGAACAUUUUCAGAGACUGACUUUGAGAAUAAGCAAUUGUGCACAAGAGUAAAUAUUGAAUCCUGGCAGCCUGUUAGCAAAGACUUAAAAAUGAACCGCAAAUCUAAUUUCCUAAGCCUGUUCAGAUUGUAGCUUUGUCAUUACUAAGUCCCUCAGUUUGAAUUAUGAAAUACGCCUGAACCAUUGAAUAUUCAGAUUAUAAUCUUAGCAGAGGUGAAUAUAGCUGCCAAUGCUGUGUUUAAACCUCAUAUAUAACAGGACGCACACACACGGCAUCUGGAUCCUCUGCUGAGCGUCGAUUAAAAUGUUCAUUUGUGGAAGGCUGAUGAUUUUGCUUAACUUUUUUAUUCUCUUUUGUAAAUUAAGAAACCAGUAAGAGUAGGACUUUAUUCUAUCAAUGGGUUUGCUCCAUGUCACAGAUUUCAUGUACAGGGUCACUUGGAAUAGAAUGUGUAGAGAAAGAAUCUCAUUAGGCUAAAAUGAGUGUAAAAUGUGUCAAUUUGAUCCAAAUGAGAAUUGUAGUAAAACCAUGUUUGA